GACCUAGUGGCGAACGGACCGCACCCGCUCCGAAUGGUUAUCCUGCCGCGAUGCAUCUAUGGCGGAAGUUCCUGGUUCGACUCCGGGCUAGGUCA